UACAGAGGGUGCAAGCGUUAAUCGGAUUUACUGGGCGUAAAGGGCGCGUAGGUGGUUAUGUAAGUGAGAGGUGAAAUCCCUGGGCUUAACCUGGGAACUGCCUCUUAUACUGGAUAGCUGGAGUACAAUAGAGGGUAGUGGAAUUUCCGGUGUAGCGGUGAAAUGCGUAGAUAUCGGAAGGAACACCAGUGGCGAAGGCGGCUACCUGGAUUGAUACUGACACUGAGGCGCGAGAGCGUGGGGAGCAAACAGG
rnacentral:rRNA from 1 species